CUACGGGGGGCUCCAGUGAGGAAUAUUGGACAAUGGUCGAAAGACUGAUCCAGCCAUGCCGCGUGCAGGAUGAAUGCCCUAUGGGUUGUAAACUGCUUUUAUACGGGAAGAACACCACCCACGUGUGGGUGACUGACGGUACCGUAAGAAUAAGGACCGGCUAACUCCGUGCCAGCAGCCGCGGUAAUACGGAGGGUCCAAGCGUUAUCCGGAAUCAUUGGGUUUAAAGGGUCCGUAGGCGGGCUAUUAAGUCAGAGGUGAAAGUUUGCAGCUCAACUGUAAAAUUGCCUUUGAUACUGGUAGUCUUGAGUUAUAGUGAAGUGGUUAGAAUAUGUGGUGUAGCGGUGAAAUGCAUAGAUAUCACAUAGAAUACCAAUUGCGAAGGCAGAUCACUAACUAUAUACUGACGCUGAUGGACGAAAGCGUGGGGAGCGAACGGGAUUAAUACCCUAGUAGUC
rnacentral:rRNA from 1 species